UACGGAGGGUGCAAGCGUUGUCCGGAAUUACUGGGCGUAAAGCGCGUGCAGGCGGGCUGUCGUGUCGGGUGUGAAAUCCCUCGGCUCAACUGAGGAACUGCGCCCGAAACUGGCAGUCUUGAGUACGGGAGGGGAUGGUGGAAUUCCCGGUGUAGAGGUGAAAUUCGUAGAUAUCGGGAAGAAUACCGGUGGCGAAGGCGACCAUCUGGCCCGUUACUGACGCUCAGACGCGAAAGCGUGGGGAG
rnacentral:rRNA from 1 species